UACGAAGGUGGCAAGCGUUGUUCGGAUUCACUGGGCGUACAGGGUGUGUAGGCGGUUUGGUAAGCCUUCUGUUAAAGCUUCGGGCCCAACCCGGAAAGCGCAGAGGGUACUGCCAGGCUAGAGGGCGGGAGAGGAGCGCGGAAUUCCCGGUGUAGCGGUGAAAUGCGUAGAGAUCCGGAGGAACACCGACGGCGUAAGCAGCGCCCUGGACGAGACCUGACGCUCGGGCACGAAAGCUGGGGGAGCAAACAGG
rnacentral:rRNA from 1 species